ACGGGAGGCAGCAGUGGGGAAUAUUGCACAAUGGGCGCAAGCCUGAUGCAGCGACGCCGCGUGAGGGAUGACGGCCUUCGGGUUGUAAACCUCUUUCAGUAGGGAAGAAGCGAAAGUGACGGUACCUGCAGAAGAAGCGCCGGCUAACUACGUGCCAGCAGCCGCGGUAAUACGUAGGGCGCAAGCGUUAUCCGGAUUUAUUGGGCGUAAAGAGCUCGUAGGCGGUUUGUCGCGUCUGCCGUGAAAGUCCGAGGCUCAACCUCGGAUCUGCGGUGGGUACGGGCAGACUAGAGUGAUGUAGGGGAGACUGGAAUUCCUGGUGUAGCGGUGAAAUGCGCAGAUAUCAGGAGGAACACCGAUGGCGAAGGCAGGUCUCUGGGCAUUUACUGACGCUGAGGAGCGAAAGCAUGGGGAGCGAACAGGAUUAGAUACCCUGGUAGUCCAUGCCGUAAACGUUGGGCACUAGGUGUGGGGGACAUUCCACGUUUUCCGCGCCGUAGCUAACGCAUUAAGUGCCCCCCCCUGGGGAGUACGGCCGCAAGGCUAAAACUCAAAAGGAAUUGACGGGGGCCCGCACAAGCGGCGGAGCAUGCGGAUUAAUUCGAUGCAACGCGAAGAACCUUACCAAGGCUUGACAUGUGCCAGACCGCUCCAGAGAUGGGGUUUCCCUUCGGGGCUGGUUCACAGGUGGUGCAUGGU
rnacentral:rRNA from 1 species